GGAAAGGCGUGCGAUACAGGGUGACAGCCCCGUACACAAAAAUGCACAUGCUGUGAGCUCGAUGAGUAGGGCGGGACACGUGGUAUCCUGUCUGAAUAUGGGGGGACCAUCCUCCAAGGCUAAAUACUCCUGACUGACCGAUAGUGAACCAGUACCGUGAGGGAAAGGCGAAAAGAACCCCGGCGAGGGGAGUGAAAAAGAACCUGAAACCGUGUACGUACAAGCAGUGGGAGCCUCUUUAUGGGGUGACUGCGUACCUUUUGUAUAAUGGGUCAGCGACUUAUAUUCUGUAGCAAGGUUAACCGAAUAGGGGAGCCGAAGGGAAACCGAGUCUUAACUGGGCGUUAAGUUGCAGGGUAUAGACCCGAAACCCGGUGAUCUAGCCAUGGGCAGGUUGAAGGUUGGGUAACACUAACUGGAGGACCGAACCGACUAAUGUUGAAAAAUUAGCGGAUGACUUGUGGCUGGGGGUGAAAGGCCAAUCAAACCGGGAGAUAGCUGGUUCUCCCCGAAAGCUAUUUAGGUAGCGCCUCGUGAAUUCAUCUCCGGGGGUAGAGCACUGUUUCGGCAAGGGGGUCAUCCCGACUUACCAACCCGAUGCAAACUGCGAAUACCGGAGAAUGUUAUCACGGGAGACACACGGCGGGUGCUAACGUCCGUCGUGAAGAGGGAAACAACCCAGACCGCCAGCUAAGGUCCCAAAGUCAUGGUUAAGUGGGAAACGAUGUGGGAAGGCCCAGACAGCCAGGAUGUUGGCUUAGAAGCAGCCAUCAUUUAAAGAAAGCGUAAUAGCUCACUGGUCGAGUCGGCCUGCGCGGAAGAUGUAACGGGGCUAAACCAUGCACCGAAGCUGCGGCAGCGACACUAUGUGUUGUUGGGUAGGGGAGCGUUCUGUAAGCCGUUGAAGGUGGCCUGUGAGGGUUGCUGGAGGUAUCAGAAGUGCGAAUGCUGACAUAAGUAACGAUAAAGCGGGUGAAAAGCCCGCUCGCCGGAAGACCAAGGGUUCCUGUCCAACGUUAAUCGGGGCAGGGUGAGUCGACCCCUAAGGCGAGGCCGAAAGGCGUAGUCGAUGGGAAACAGGUUAAUAUUCCUGUACUUGGUGUUACUGCGAAGGGGGGACGGAGAAGGCUAUGUUGGCCGGGCGACGGUUGUC
rnacentral:rRNA from 1 species